rnacentral:lncRNA from 1 species
UUUCAGAAAGUGGGGUUUCUUCUCAGCCUCCAUUUAUCUACGUUUAAGAUUUUCUUCUUUUAUCUAAGUUUUACUAAUAUUUCUAUCGAAAAUAUAUAGACUUUGUCUUCAUCUGUUUUCUUUAACGAAUGUCAAAUCUAGCUACAUUCAUUCCUCGGCCUCCGUUAUAAUGAAGAAAAAGGUAGAAGUCACUGCUUUUGUUGGAAUGAAAAUUUAACGGGAUUGGUCACCGCGACAAGGACUGUCAACGGAAUCCAAAGAGAUUGAGAUAGAGAUAGAGACUACUGCUCUUACCCUGACCGUGAACGUGAACCAAGAAAUCAAAUUCCCAUAGUUUGCUCUACUUUUUUUUUUUUUGUCUUUUUUCUUUUUAUUCCCAAAUAUACGUUAAAUCAACUACUAUUUCUAUACAUAUGUUCUUAUAUUUUCUUUUUUCUUUGAUUGAAUGAGAUUUUGUGAAUUUGGACUUGCUUUAUUAGGAUUAUUUUCUUGAAUACUGCUAUAGGAAGUUAUUUUAUAGGCUGCAAAUGUUG